UACGGGGGGGGCAAGCGUUGUUCGGAAUUACUGGGCGUAAAGGGCUCGUAGGCGGCCAACUAAGUCAGACGUGAAAUCCCUCGGCUUAACCGGGGAACUGCGUCUGAUACUGGAUGGCUUGAGUUUGGGAGAGGGACGCGGAAUUCCAGGUGUAGCGGUGAAAUGCGUAGAUAUCUGGAGGAGCACCGGUGGCGAAGGCGGCGUCCUGGACCAACACUGACACUGAUGAGCGAAAGCCAGGGGAGCAAACGGG
rnacentral:rRNA from 1 species